CACCAACAGUUAUAUAAAUGGAAAUGAGAGUAAUUAUGAUGUCAUAUUUUGCUAACAUAAUUAGGAACAGUCAAAACUCUGGGCCAGAAAGUUAAAUGCCAAUGAAGAGAAAAACCACUACACCUCUUGGAAAUUAGUUCACUCCUGUUGCAGACAAUCAAAUGGAAAAGGUAGCAAACUACAGCAUCCUCUACAAGUGGCCGUGCGUUUGUGUUUUUUACUGUGCAGUAUGGUGCAGAGUAUGACAGUACAGUAUUUUUAUUUCAAGCCCAGGAUGUCCAGAAGCAAAUGUAAAAGCAGCGGUGAUAUAGCUGGAACUACUGUAUUGUUCAAGAUGUUGUUAUUCUAUGUACAACUGAUCUGUGAAAGGUGCAGCAGAAAGUUUUUCUGGGUCCCCACAUGGAGUGUCACGUGUGGAACAUGUGCGUCAUCAUGCCAACACUCUUCUGCAGCAAAGCGCAGAGUGGAGGUGAGCCACAUACUGAGACCCACUGGGGUGCCUCUUUCUCUCUCAGGAGUCUUUGGUGUUUCCUCUAUACCUGUGAUGC
rnacentral:lncRNA from 1 species